rnacentral:lncRNA from 1 species
UGCAGUUGGUGGUUUUGAUGAUUCUCUUCCCUUGCAAUCAGCAGAGCGAUAUAAUCCACAAACAAACACAUGGAGUGUUAUAUCAAAUAUGAAUUGUUGUCGAGGUGGAGUUGGUGUUUGUACCAUGGGAAGAAUGGUAUGGGCUGUUGGUGGCCAUGAUGGUGGAAGUUACUUGAAUACCGUCGAGUAUUAUGACAUACAGGCAGACACAUGGCAGUUUGUUGCUUCAAUGGAAGUUGGUCGUGCUGGAGCUGGUGUUAUUGCAUGUAAAUGUAAUAUUGAAAAGUUUGGCAAAACGUAUGCUAUGGCUGAAACAGCCAUGGUGUAAAGCCAGGCUUUAAUGCAGUCAACCCGCCAGGGAAAUGGCGUCGUAUGAAUGACAUUAUUACUGUAUUUAUAGUCAUGAAUAUUGGCAUUUGCACAUAGCAACAUAGUAAUUUGCUUCCCAUCUCACUCCUAUACAGUGAGCUCGAUAUAUAUAUAUAUAUAUAUAUAUAUAUAUAUAUAUAUAUAUAUAUAUAUAUAUAUAUAUAUAUAUAUAUAUAUAUAUAUAUAUAUAUAUAUCAGACAGAAACAAUAGAAAGGGACGUCCAAUAGUUCUUCAAUUUCCGCUUCACUUUUUGGACUCGAGUUCUCUCUACAAUUUGGAACGGUUCCAAAAUCUUGCACUACAUAUGCAUUUAUUAGUAUUUCUUGAUACGCGGAAAAGUACUGGCACUAGUUGUCAAAUAGAAAUCCAUUUUAUGAUUAAAACAACUGAAUAUCUCCUGUAAUAUACUUUAUUUCGAUUCCAUAUUUUUGUCAGAGCUAUAGUUCUUAUAACCAAACAUAAUUACAAAAUUUCAACUAGUUUCAUAAAGAAUAACGAAAGAUAUAAUUGACUGAAUACAUCAAAAUGGAUUUCUAUUCGGACAACCCUUUCUGAGCGCUGAUUGGCUAAAAUACGAACACGAGAUCACCUGGUAUGCUACACAGACACAAAAUACAGACUGUAACAGCUCAACAACUGGAGUUAUAUUAAUAGUUUUGUUUGUGGAAACACCACGCAAACAUACAAAGAACUUAUUAGAGUUAUAUUGUUCGACCAUAGUUAGGUUUGACUUUCACAAAGCCUUUGAUUUGAUAGAUGAUAAUAUUUUAGCGAAGAAGCAGCCCCCACCCUCUCAUACGCCUAUGUGCACGUGUACCUAUAUUUAAAUUCGCGUAGUACUACUGUACUUUUAAGGAGUAAGUUGACACUUUUGCAAAUAAUAUUUCGUCGUAAUCAUACUCUAGGAGUAGGAUAGUAUGAAACUACGUUUUUCCUAUAUCUCUGAGGAUGGUUCUGAAAUAGAACUGAAUCACUGCGCGUCUCCAAAACAAGCGUUAAGUCGUCACGAAAAUAUUUUGUGCACUUAGACCCCGUUUACACGGUACCGGACGAAUUUGGGACCGGUCUGAAAUUCGUUCUUUUCGGCCGUGUAAACACACGAGAACUACGGAACCGGACGAAUUUGAGACCCCUAACAGACAGGACGAAUUCGCGUGUAAACAGGCGAAAAAGGACGAAUUUCAGACCGGUCGCAAAUUCGUCCAGUACCGUGUAAGAAUGGCUACCAAUCCCCGUUGACUUGAUAGCUCAACCAAAUUUCGUUGUACUCAGGCACAGAACACAGAUGAGGUAAAUACAGAUAUGAAUCUCCCCAUUCUCCCGUCAAAUUGCUGAUUGUUUUGUGUCACACGGAAUUCGCACUUCCGGCGAGCGCUGGCAAGUGUCGUUCUGAAACAGGGCUCUCAGUUUUAAGGAAAUUUCCUUAAACUGAGGAAAUUAUCAGUUUUUAAGGAGACUUUUAAGGAAAUAGAAGUUUUAAGGAAUUUCUAAGGAAUUUUUAGUUUUUACCUAAUAUUUGAAAAUAUUGAAAUAAUAUUUAAA